rnacentral:lncRNA from 1 species
CACACAACUUACACAUACGUUCAAUCAGAUUACAUGUAAGACCUCAUGCAAUAACAUAAAUAGACCAAAAACAUAUGUUUUUAACACAUGCAUGAACCGUACAUAUAUAGACAUUAUAUGCCUCAAAAUGCAAAGUACAUAUGUUUAAGGUAAAGAAAUCGUGCCACGCAACCAAAAUUGGCAUACAAUGGCUUGUCUGCUGAAACAACCACCAAAAUGAGCAGUGUAAAACUUGUCAAUAUCUGGAGGUUCAACAAACAAGACAUAUUACAUAUAUAUCAUCACUCCAGCAACUUGUCAGACCUUCAAAACCUCCAGCAACUUGUAGAUCUUCCAAACCUCCAUCAACUUGUGUAUCUUGAGAAGCCUGCAACAAAUCGGAAACUCGGAAAAUGGUGCUAUCGUUUCAGAUUUUAAAUCAACAUAUUAAAGAUUUUGAUGUGCUGCAGUUUAACGUCAGCAUAUAACUCUUCUGAAUGUUAUGCACUUCAUCAUCACAACAAGUAGUGAUUAUUACGUACAUAAUUAGAUCAAGCAGAAAUUAUUUGCACUUCACAUACAAAAAUCUUCCAUGGGCAAAUAUGACAAAACAAGAAUGUGUAACAUUGUUGCUUGCUUCACUAAACUGUAUAGUCCAAGCUCACCCAAGAAAUAGAUUGCACUAAUUUUAUCAGUAAACUUUCAGAUCUGAUAUGAAAGUCAACCUAGAACAAAAGAAAGAAUCCACAAAACAAAUUUGAAAAACCAGAGGACUGUACAGCAAAAAAUCAAAGUUGAAGAUGCAUAUUACCUCCUCAACUUGCUUGUGGUCACAUUACUGCAUUUGCUAGACUUAUCCACUUGCAGCUGCAUACAUACAAGCAGACUUUUAAGGUGUAAAAAUAAAUUGAGAGCAAGCAUUGAGCAUGCAAAAAAAAUUGUAACCACCCAAGCCAGGGUAAAAUUUUGUGCCUGGCCAAAUAUUGGCAUCGUGGAUCUGGGCACAAAACAAGCACAUUGAUAGAUCAUUAAUGCGUGAUAUGGUCAAGAUUUUACAUACCUUAAAUUAGUCUUUCAGCUGCUCUAUGAGGCCCAUAACAUGAGGGAUGAUAAUUUGGAUCAGCGGAAACUGUUCAGGGAUGCCAAAAGAAUCUCGAGACAGUAAAAUGUAUCAACUCAGAGGUAACUGGCAAUUUAGAGGCAAGUGCAUUAUUAACAAGCUGCUAACAAAAUUCUGAGAACAAAGGGUGUAUCUUAGGUUUAACUGAAUGCAGACAUUCACAGUAACUAUGGUGGCCUUGGUCAAGCAUAUUGCAAAACAACACCUAUCUGAAACUAGCUGAAAUCUAGUUAAGUGUUAACUGAUUUUGCUGGUAACCAGAAAUCUGUUUGUAUGAAGAAACUUGUUGAAACCUAGUUAAGUGUUAACUGAUUUUUCUUGUAACCAGAAACCUGAAAUUGGCUUUGACUGGAACUAGUUGAAAUAUGAAGCGCAAAACUUGUAGAAACCCAUAUAUCCCAGUUCCAUAUGUGUUCCCUGGAAACUCCCAGAUUUUUAAUGACUUUGAGCGAAUUUGCGUGCCGGAGGAUAUGGGAACAGAAUUGAUAGCAAAGUUUGACAGGAACCUGCGUGAAUAAUCCAUUAAUCAUCGUGCCCCGAUCGAUCGGUUCGGUACUCGGUUUUGCACCGAACAGGCCGAACAGUUGGCGGGAUGUGAUGGCGGGAUGGGAUGGCUGCUAUACUUUUGUCUCGGCGGGGCUAGAUAACAACACGUGUUAUGCUCAAAGAAAAAAAAUACAUGAGGUGAGCGAGACAACAGGCAACAACAAACAGUACCUAGGUUCACUAAAAAAGCUGGCGGGCGUCCUGUACAUGUGACGAGAAUCAGGGGGCCAGCCGGCCAGCCUACGGCACUGUUUUCCACUCAUCAUAUUAACGCGCCAUCCCAUCAAUACAAUUGAUUUUUUGUUUGUUGGCUGGCAACACAGAGCGAACAAAUGGGAACUAAUUUAUGGAAGACGCACGAGACAGUUAGUGGUGGGCCUCGGUGCUUCGGUCAAUUCGGUUACCUGACUGUGCAUACAUACACAUGCCAAGCAAAUUCUCGGUUCAUAUGUUUACUGCAGUUUUAUUUGCAUGAAGCAUAUAAGAAACGAAAUGCUAAAUAAGUUUCAAUGUUCUGAAAUAGCAGCAAACAUGUAUCCAAAAGAAAAAUACUGAAUCUAAGACUUAACUACCAAGAUUAUUACCUCCUCAGCUUGCUUGUGGUUGCGUACUCGUGUUGCUGCUUUUGCCAUGAACUUAUAAGUCACUCUCAGCUGCAUAUAUAGAAGCAAAGACUUUUAAGCUAUCAACCAUAAUAGUCAUUGGUAAAUAUAUAAUCAGAAGAGCAUAAGCUUAUGUGCUUGUAUGGAGUAGUCGACGCUGCUUGGUGGAGAGGACAAACAACAUGCAUACUGCUCACAAAACAAAAAAUCCAAAAUAUUAUUUCAGUGAAAGAAUCAAAUGAAAAUUAGGGAACAGUUUGUAAGAAUUACAUAUAGGAGAAAAGAGCAUGGUACUCAGCUAGCCCCAUGACCCAAUUCUUCAAAAAAAAUCUACUUAGGAGCAUAGCUCCCAAUUUCCAUUACUGAAAACAUCACAUGUCUCAAGUUCGUCCCCCUCCAGGGGUACCUCAAAACAUCAGAAACUAAGCCACACACAGCAGCACUAGUACCAAACUAGACGCAGAACCUAAACAACGAGCAUCCAAACGUUCUAAUUACCAGCAACAAAACAAUAGUCUUAUAUUACUCGUGGCCCUACAUGCAAGGUACUGUACUACCAGGG